GACGAACGCUGGCGGCGUGCUUAACACAUGCAAGUCGAACGAAGAGCGAUGGAAGCUUGCUUCUAUCAAUCUUAGUGGCGAACGGGUGAGUAACGCGUAAUCAACCUGCCCUUCAGAGGGGGACAACAGUUGGAAACGACUGCUAAUACCGCAUACGAUCCGACCUCGGCAUCGAGGAUGGAUGAAAGGUGGCCUCUAUUUAUAAGCUAUCACUGAAGGAGGGGAUUGCGUCUGAUUAGCUAGUUGGAGGGGUAACGGCCCACCAAGGCAAUGAUCAGUAGCCGGGCUGAGAGGAUGAACGGCCACAUUGGGACUGAGACACGGCCCAGACUCCUACGGGAGGCAGCAGUGGGGAAUCUGCCGCAAUGGACGAAAGUCUGACGGAGCAACGCCGCGUGAGUGAUGACGGCCUUCGGGUUGUAAAGCUCUGUUAAUCGGGACGAAAGGUCUUCUUGCGAAUAGUUAGAAGAAUUGACGGUACCGGAAGAGAAAGCCACGGCUAACUACGUG
rnacentral:rRNA from 1 species